rnacentral:rRNA from 1 species
UACGUAGGAUGCAAGCGUUGUCCGGAAUUACUGGGCGUAAAGGGCGAGCAGGUGGCACUACAAGUCUGAUGUAAAAUCUCCCGGCUUAACUGGGAGGGGCCAUUGGAAACUGUAGAGCUGGAGUGCAGGAGAGGCUAACGGAAUUCCCGGUGUAGUGGUGAAAUGCGUAGAUAUCGGGAGGAACACCAGUGGCGAAGGCGGUUAGCUGGCCUGUAACUGACACUGAGGCACGAAGGCUAGGGGAGCGAACAGG